GUGGGUUUGGCAACACAUAAACUAAGAUUGGAACAAUACAGAGAAGGUUGGCAUGGCCCCUGAACGAGAUUGACUUGCAAAUUUGUGGGUUGCUCCGUAUUUUG